GACGAACGCUGGCGGCAUGCCUAACACAUGCAAGUCGAACGAGACCUUCGGGUCUAGUGGCGCACGGGUGCGUAACGCGUGGGAACCUGCCCUUAGGUUCGGAAUACCUCCCCGACAGGGGUGCUAAUACCGGAUAAUGUCUUCGGACCAAAGAUUUAUCGCCUUUGGUUGGGCCCGCGUUGGAUUAGCUAGUUGGUAGGGUAAGAGCCUACCAAGGCGACGAUCCAUAGCUGGUCUGAGAGGAUGAUCAGCCACACUGGGACUGAGACGCGGCCCAGACUCCUACGGGAGGCAGCAGUGGGGAAUAUUGGACAAGGGGCGAAAGCCUGAACCAGCAAUGCCGCGUGAGUGAUGAAGGCCUUAGGGUUGUAAAGCUCUUUUACCCGGGAUGAUAAUGACAGUACCGGGAGAAUAAGCGCCGGCUAACUCCGUG
rnacentral:rRNA from 1 species